rnacentral:lncRNA from 1 species
GUGCAUCGACUGCUUCCUUUCAGGUGGAAACCUCUACCUCUUUGAGUACGGCGUGUCCCCUGUUUUCUAUCUUGCUAAAGCUCGAGGAGGGACUUGCACCCUUGCGAAAUCUGACCCCCCUGAAGAUGUGCUUCACCGUGCCUCUUACCUCCUCCAGAAUGGCUUUGGUGGCUACAAUCUUUUCAAGAACAACUGUGAGGACUUUGCUGUCUACUGUAAGACGGGUCUGCUUGUGGUGACGGCAAUUAGCGUAGGCCGAAGUGGGCAAGCAGCGGCUUUUCUGGCUGCUACAAGUGCUGUCAUGUCCUCUCCACUUAGAUUCUUGACGACAAGUGUUAGUGGUCUGGCAGCUGUGAGUUAUGGCAUGUAUUGCAUCAGUCGUUUGGUCUCUGACCUUGGGGUUCGCCGUGAUGUGGUUAGAGUACCUGUCGAAAGACUUGUUAAUCAAUCUGAUUUGUGUGAUCCCCAAGCUGCUGUGGAUAGUCCCACUCCCGGUUGUGUUGUCGCUGCCAAAAAUGACUAAAGACUGCAUGCUGCAAUUUGCCGGCAGUCUCCACCAGAACUUUGCCGGCAGUGGAGAUGAAAACACUGUAAAAUGUAUGUUUUAGCUCUUUGUUGGAUGUUACUUCUGCAAACUAUACCCGGUCGAAAAUUUAAAUACUCCUCAAACUUCAGCUUUGUUGGAUUUGGCAUCAGAGGUCCUUGAAAUUUUGGGUGUCGUCUUGUUUCUUGUUGUGCAAACGAACUGAUCAGAUUUGCUUUCGACAGGAUAUUUCCUGUUGAUCGCCACAAUCUCUGUAUAGAACUACAGUUGCAAGAGAGAGUGGUUCUACUGUUCUCUCCAAUUUUGAUAUUUCUGCAUCUGAAUUAUUUAAGCUAUACUCCCGAUGGGUUAGACUAGCUUUGGCGUGGGUUUUGUCCUAAAAUUGCGUAUAUAUGGUAUUCCAAUUAAAUGACAAAUUAUAUUUAACCAUAAAACGAAAGAGUUUCAGACAGGAAUAAUAAUUUGAAAUCAGUGUAGUAACACUUGAGGGCUGGCCAUGGUCACGGACGGCAGAGACAGAGAGCUGGCUACGCUUGAGCGAGAAUGAAGGUCGCACGACCCUCGUGUGGCUUGCGCAAGGGUCGACGUGAGCAUCACUAAGGCACAAUGAGGGUCGUUUGACCCUUGCCAUGGUUGACUGAGGGCCUCCAACCAACCCUCACAAGCUGAGGCAAGGGCUGUGCAGAUCCUCCCUUAUAAUAAACACCAUUUCAUUGAUAAAAGCCCAUCACUUUAUAAGUAGAGUCUCACCUUGUGCAUACUAAUACAUGAAGACAUGGCAGUUUGUUUGCUCGGGAGAAGUGAUAGACCUGAAUUUCAGAUAUACUUUGUUCUUGAAAAGGAGGAGAAUCGUGUCAAUAUUAAGUUAAAAAAGAGACUGAGCAGACAUUUUCAAAAAGAGGAAUGUUGAUAAUUUGUGGAACGUUAAAGAUAACAAAACCUAGUUUUUUAAAACCUCGGGGUAGACCAGACAAUAACUGAAACUGUAACUCGAUCAUUGUCCCUAGAAGAGCAUAAAGCAACUUGAGGAAUACCGAUGGGGUAUAACUACACUUCCAUGUAGACUAGAGCAGUACAAAGAAUCUUUCGGAUAUUGUACAGGACCUUCAUAUAAUUAAGUCAAUCAUGUUUACAAUGAAUUGUGUACAGAUGAGGCCAAAUUAAUGGUGAAAAAAUGCAAUGUCUAAAUUGAUUUUAGUUUAUUGGAAAAUUUCAUCUUUUGCAGAAACGUUCACGAAACGAACUUUGCAUCUUCUGCUGAAAGAUGGAAAGCAUUAGCAGCUCUGGGAUGCAUCAACCUGGCUCCAAAGCUGAUUAGCAAAUUCGUUCUCCUCUUCUGUAGCGAUUUGGUCAUUAACCUCAAUUAAUUCCUCUUCAUCGAGGUUCUCUUCCAUGAUUUCGUCAAUAGAUGAUACUUCUGAAAGUUCUGUCCCCAACCCACUUAUUUCAACCCCCGCCUCCCUCAUAGCUUUUGCUGUUGCCGGCCUGUCACAAGACCUAUAUUUAGGAGCAGGCAUGACAAACGGCAAAACUAUAUUGUCUAAGUCUAUGUGGCUGCCCUUCGUUCUAGCCCGUGUCUCCGUCGGAGGAACAACAAACAGUAUCCCAAGUUCAUAGUUGCAAAUGUGAAGCUUCUUCAAAUCGAAGUUGCUUCGACCAGGUGUGUUAAACUUUCCAUCAGAUUGAUUGGAAAUCAACCUCCCCCAAGCAGCUGCACUGAAAUUAUGUGAUCCACAAUAAACCCAACCAAAAGAACAUGCACUUGCCCUGGACUUAAAGCGCCUCAUUGCCACCUGAAAGAAAAAAAUUCCUUGAAGAUGUGCCAAUGUCCCCAAGCACGGAUACAACAUCCACACUCUGAAAAAAUGGCAAAAUUCUCUCUCAACCAAAAUAAACCAGUGACAUGCCAUGCCGAUUCAGUUAUUCAUAUCAAAAGUAAAACGCAGUAAGGAUAAAGCUAUACAAGAUGGUCUGGCCAAAAAACUCAGGAUUGAAAAAGAAUAUCAUCAAACUGAAAAUCAAUGUCUACAGCAAUUUUUUAAAUUUCUUUAUAGCUCAAGAAAUCGAAUUUUUAGUGCAGAGUGGCUGUAUACCUUUGUCUCAGGAACACCAAUUUCUGUGUCCAAUUUAGUGCCUUUACUGCACUUCUGUCAUAAGUAUUUAUAAGACUUAAUGCUCAUUGCAAAUUAAAACAAUUUUUCUCAGGAAUAUAUUUGGGGUUUAUUGACCUCCAAAAAGUCAUGCAAAGGCCAUCCACACCAACUUGAUGGGUUAAUCUAUGCUUCUAUUGAUGUCAAAGUGACACCAAUUAUAUGCACAUUCAUAUCAACAAACAAAGAAGUUCAAUUGCAUACUUCAAAACUAGGAGACGCAUGCUUACAUCACCAACAUAAAAUGGAAAAAACUUAAGAUGGAUUGCUCAAUUCUGCCGAAUCCAUGGACCAUUCUGCUAAUAUGGCCGAAGAUGAUGAUUCACUCGCAAAUUCAGUGGGGUGAAAGAAGAAAAACCCCCUGGAAGACAAGAACUAUUCUGAAGUAGUUAUUUCAGCUAAAUUGAACUUUUCCGUAUCAAAUCUAGCAUGUGAAUAAGGAGUAGUUAAUUUCAUUUCCUGUACGUACAUUCUCUUCUGCUAAAAUUGGACAUCCAGGCCCAAUCGGUCCUCUUGGUCAUGGGUAGUCCUCCAAUCCCACCAUAAUCGGAUCAUAACCAAGGCAAAAGACACUUGAUCCAGAUCAAAUAUGUCUCCAUGGAAGAAUAAACACCUCCAUCAGGCACAUAUGUGGCAAACCGGUGGAUCGGGUUGGUUUAUAUUUCAAUUGUUUAAGAUUGGUUUAUGUUGGGUUGUUCCAGAUUCAACUACUUUUGGGUCCAGUCAUUUCAGGUUCUGUCAUCUCGAAGUCUGACGUGGGUUCCUGUGAAUCAAUUCUUGACCUUCUCAGGUUCCACUUUCUAAAAGUGAAUUGGGUCUGGUUUAUGUAAUGCAUUCAUCAUAUGUUUACUUAAGUUCCAAAUCACUGGCAUUUGGUUUUUCUAUGAUUUUGGGUUCAUCAGAGUUAGAAUUAAAUAUCAUGACAAGUCGGUCUACAUCAAGUUCAGGUUGUCUCAGGUUUGGUAUACUUCAAGUUUAGGCUACUUUGGAUUUGGUUCAUUUUGAAUUCAGCAUGGAUGGAUUUUUUUUUUUUUUUUGGUAAGAGUAAGCAAUAUAUUAAUAGGGGUCAAACUGAACAAACAACAUGGCUCCAAAAACUUACACUCAAAAUGAACACGCUCAUUAAGAGUGGAAGGAAGCCGCGGAAAAGCAACAAAACGACGUAUGAUGGAUUAUCAAUCACUCAACGUAUGAAUUCUCUUGAAUGCAGUUGUUUCCAAUUCAUAUUCAAUCAGGUUUAAGUCAUUGACUUUUUCAGUCAGCUUGGGGUUGGGUUGAGUCAGUUUCAUGAUGGGAAGGCCAGGUUUGUUGAGUUCCAGUUCCCACCUCUACUGGUGGGAGCACGCACACACAAUAAAAAAGGAUGCCAUCCAUUUGAUGCAUUGAUGUUAUUCAAAUCGGUUUCUAAAAUACAGGGAAUAAAAUCGAACCACAAGAAGGAAAGAGCACUUUAAAGAGAAAAGUGUAUUUGUCAUAGUGUACAUUCUAUAAAAAAAAAUAGUAUAACUUGGUCAUGCUAAAGGCUUCACUAUUAAGUGAAUAAAACCAUGUUUGUGCAUUCUAUGUUUUCACGUGCUUUUGUCCAUCAAGGUUUCACUGAAUUAUAAGUUCACAUAACGUGUCCUCAAUAGGAUAUAACUUCACAAUAGUCAAAACAGAUGAGCACUAGAUCACUUACUCUCAGAUUUUUCAGGUUUUAUGAGGGACUAAUAGAUGACAUUUUGAAACACAUUUUAUCUCCAUGAGUUGCACAAUAACAUGAUGAUGAAAUUCUCUCUCUCCACAUAGUCGUGAGCACGAGGGGACAAGUAUCCUAACAGCUUAAUUUUUUGUAAAAGAACAUUUGUCUAAAAAUUUCAAUUUUCUUUUUAGGAUUUGCUAGUGUGUCAUGUGUAAUGAAUGUAUGCUAUGGUCAUCCACCUUAGCCCAAGCACAAUGCUCUCAGAGCAGAAUCCCACUUUAUUAAAAAAAAUUCUGCUAACGAGUGGCCCAAGUGAAAUUAUUAAGCACUAAAUAAUAAAAUUUUAUAAAUUUCAUUUUAACUGCACUAAAUAAAUAUUUCAUGGGCACUUGUUAACAAUACCAUAAUUGAAAUACUCCAAAAACAAGCUAAAUGUGCUAGUAGCUAUUUAUGGUUGAGGACCUCAUUUUGUUUGCUAAGUCAAGAUUUUGAGUUCAUGGGUUUUGCAACCUUGACCAAUAUUCCAACACCCAAAAACUCUGCUGAAUGCAAUGCUAUUAAAUUGAUUACAGUGAAUCUGUAUGAUGUUUGAGAUGUCAAAUUUCACUCUUGAAUAAUAGAUCAUUAAAAUGUAUUCCCAUGCACUAGCAUAACUUUACCAUACCUAAAAUUAAGAGAAAAAACAUAAUAACGUUCUGUUUUAAUUAGCAGAUGAUACAAUCCUAUACACAUUCUGCAAAAGGGUAUGAUUAAUUCAUGAGUGCAUGCUAAUUGAUGGCAUCAGAACAACACAGUUUAUUUUCACUGGAGAAGAAGAUAAGGAAUGGACCUUUGCAUGAAUUGGGUGGCCAAUCCUAUAGGAAGGAUAAGGAAUUGCAUCAUAGAGUAUGUCUGCAGUCUUCAACUUUUGCCAUGUUUUCUGUAUGGGAAGCAAUGAAUUAUUGCACAAGGUACUCAAUAAAACCAAAGAGCCUAUCAGUGAUAAGCCCCAUUAGUUAGCACUUAACAACAGCAAAAGCACCAGAAACACAAAAAGCACAAUCCUUCCUGUACACAGACAGAUAUCCGAUCGGCCAUCUGAAUGUACGGGAAUUGGACUUCACUGGCAUGAUAAGCUCAUGCUUGGACAGCAAAUGGUUCAGCACUCUCUAUAAUUGCAAAUUUCAGUCCAGAAAAGUAAUGCUUAUACGUGCAAGAAUUAUGUCUAUUGUCUUGCCUAUAUUAUAGAACCCCUGUUUAGAUCCAAGGAAAACUAGACAGGAUAAUAGCAAAGCCAAUGAAUUUGGGAAGACCAAUAUCGCAUGCUAGAAAGAGCACAGAACAGCAGAGAAUGAUUCAAAAAAACUUAUGAGCACUCAAGAAUAUAGAGCAGUGAGUAAUGCAAUAAUAAGAACAUGGUGUGACCCACUCAGAUGAGAUGAGAUGAAAUAAAGUAAAAAAAAAAAAAAAUUGUUUAGAAACAUGAAACAAUAAGCUCAAAUGCUACUUCAAAGGUUUAGCUGUAUGAUCCUGUGUAGAUCAAAGGAGAACAAAGGGUAAGAAGACAAGAACAGAUAUAUGAUGAAAGAUUCAAUGUUUCGACCUUCCUGUAGAUGGUAUCGAAAGUGGUCCACAAAAUAACGAGAUGCAUGGAGCCAGACCCACUACAUGGAAAGAGGCUUUGCUGUUGAGGAUGAUUUUUUCAUUUAGCACACGAGAUAGCAUCAAUUACGAUCCUUGGGCUCUGGUAUUUCUUUUCUCCAACUUCUACCUUGACAUUGCUCAUAUAGUAAUAAUCUUGUCGAUCCACAAUUUUUUUAAAGUUUCACAUAAUCCAUUCAUUAUCUCAGAAAUCAGGUACAGUGAACUUAGUAAGCUCUUUCAUCAUAUCAAAUAAAUACUUCACAUAUAUUCCUGGAGUUGAUUCACUAAUUACUUGCAAUCACCAGUGGAAUGAAUGAACUAGCAACAUAAAACCUACCUAAAGGAUAAAUCUCAUUAUCACAAGCUAAUGGAAGCAAUCAAGAAUCAACUGCCACUGGGAAGAAAAAAAAAUUUGUGCUCUUUAGUUAGUUUUUGCCCUAAGAUUUGUAUUAUUGAAUGCUUAGGUUACACUCCCUCUAUUUACGUUUCUCCUUUCUAAACAUAUUUAGGGGUACUAUACAAGACCUUCUGACAAAGGAUGCCAAAGUAUGGGAAAGCUUUUAGCCCACCCAGUGAUCAAAUGGGCAGAAUACCUCUGAGAAGCAAAGAAUCUGCUUUGAAGCUGAAAUUCCAUUAAUAGCUGUCUUCGCCCUCUCAAUAGUGGGAAAAAUAAUUCUAAUGGAUGGAUUCUUCAAUUCUUGACUAGCAGUCCAAAAUCCCCACUGUUUCAAGAGAAUUGAGCACAUCGCAGUUAUGAACAACUAUCAAUUGAACCAUGAGUUUUCACCAAAUAAUAAGGGCAUAACUGCCUACCUCUGGAUCUGACUCCUCAGAAUCAGAUGAUUGCAAAGAUCUCUUUCCAGCAGCAGCCGAAAAAGCAGCCAAGAAUUGCGCAUUGAUUGAUGUACCGAUGGAGGAUGAACCUAAAGAAGAGAAAAUUUAUCGCAGUUGGUAGUAUUAACGAGAACAACCAUUCGAGUAUAUAAUUCCAAAUAAAAGUAACGAAAAAUGAACUCACCAUAAACAAAGUCACUUUCUAGUGAUUCAGGCCACCUGUAUUGACCUAAGACCUUGUAAAAAGCAAAAGAUAAUCAUAAGACAUUUCAGACACAACAUUCACAGACAAAAAUGCUCUCCUGAAGGAGCAGUGUCAUAAUAGCAUAACCUGUUCAAAUGACCACCAUUACUUUUACCUCCUUAACCAAUUCUAACAUGUGUAAUAUUCAUAAAUAUUCCCAUCUUUUACGCCAGCCUCGUUAAACACAAAACUUCCCCAAAAGAACAACAAUCAUAUACCUGGCAAUCCCGUAAUUCGAAGUACACCCUCACUAGAAGCUUCAAGUAACUAUCUCAGAAAUUGCCUUAAAAAAACUACUGCAAUGUACACACAUGGAACACAAAUAUGCCACAUGAUGGUGGUGCAAACAACUCAAACUUAGUAAAACAAAUUGCAAUACGAACAUUUAGGUCUUAAAAGUGUAAUUCAAAAUGAUAGUGACAAUAUACUUCCAGAAUUGGUACCAAAAACUUCACAUUCUCAAGCCUUGGGGGCAAAAUGACAAGGUUCGUAGGACCAUACUUUGUUCAUCAUUACCAAAAGUCUUAUGGCUAAAAUUAAAUGAUGAAAUGCCAACUUUGCAAAAUUGCAUUUGUCACAAAGAAAAUCUCAUAAGAGAAUAAAAGACUAAAGAAUGUAUACCUAGCAAGCCUAAAUGUCUAUGAGAGACUUCAAUUGUCUGAAAUGAAUUUCAAGAUUCACAGAUUUCCGUAUCAAGAUCACAAUAGAACAAUCAUCUAGUUUGUUAAGAAUCCAGAAAUUUAAAGAAGAGACAAAUAACUCAGAUGUGGUUUGAGCAAAAUAUCCUAACGUACCAAUAAACCUCAGUGACAUUUCCUCCACGAGGUAGAAGCAAAAUGUAGAAUCCACUAACAUGAAAAGCUCCAAUUGUCUAUGUCACAACAUUUAAGUAUUAAACAAUUCUUUCAACUAAAGCUGUUCAAACAGCUAACAGUAGUCCCACAAAGGUCACAUGGUAUCCAAGAAGGGGUAUCUAAAUUGAAAACUAUAUAACCCCCUCUUUGCCUCUCGAAAGAUAUAUUUCCAUGCUUUGGUCUUAGGCCAAAUCUCAGCCUAUACGUAAAGGAGUGUUAUGACAAUUAAAAAUCAAAACAUGCGUUCACUUAAUAGCUUGAGCAUUUAGAAGAUUAGCAAUGGUCCAACAAAAUUCGAUCUUGAAUGUGUACAUAGAUGCAUGCUGGUGUGUCUGUGUGUGGGUAGAUGGAUAAGCCUGCAAGUAAAUUCAAUAGCUUCAUCUGAGAGGGCACAAAGGGGUUGCACCACAUUUAUGUAAAGACCGCAAGUGGCAUUUUUACACAAGGCUGAAGAAGCAGGAAACAAUAAAAAAUCAAGCUAGACCACCAAAGCACACGCAUAACACCCCCCCCCCCCCCCCCCCCCCCCCCCCGGCCAAAAAAAAAUGUGCAACACUCAUAUAUACUGAAAUUUUUUUGAUGAAACAACCCAAGAAUGGUAUUUGUUAAAGGACUUAUGUUCCUAUAACUCCAAACUAAGAAUUUAGAUCAAAGUCAUAGGUCACAUAUCAAUUGUGAAUGAUUGCUAUGGAAGUGAGGUGUCACCCAAGUCAUGUAGGCUCGCUGAUAUGAAUUUUUUAUCAGACCGCACAUACACUAAUUAUAGUCACUUAUUGCUCAAAUCUUUAGCUAUAUAGCUCUUUUUUGGUAAACUUUCCUAAGUAUAAUCCGAUCUAAUUACUCUAGUCCAAUAAAGGGGAAAAUUACACCAAGGAUUUAAAACCUCCAAUAUGAAUACCAUCAUCCUGAACAUAAACAUUUAUUCAAAUUCUCUGUAAAAAUUUUCUUCUAUGCACUAAUUAGUUUGUGAUGUAAAAGAUUCUCCAGCAUUAAUUUAAGACGGAGUUUUAGCUUUGAAGCUAAGCUCACCAUUUGGCCAAACUCUAUAAAGAACAAAGCUUUAGACUAUAUUGUUGAGAAAUCACUUGAGGAGAAGUUCGAGUGCAAUCUGAGCAAGAAAGAAAAAAAGACAGGUAAAUUAAAAGUGCCUCUUCUGCUGCUGACCCAUUUUGGCACUUGUGCAAAAAGUUCCUUUGGUAGGACCGGAACCCUUUCUCAUUCCUCAAGUGCCUAUUCAAUCAAACUUCCAUUUCUUUUUUUUUCUUUUUUUAGGGCGGGGGGGUGGAAUAGGUGGAAAGAUCAACUGCAGGGCACUAGGGGGCGCAGACCCAUAGACAAAAAAGAGCUCAUAAAACCAAAAGGGAGAUCCAUCACAUGACAAAGCAUCUACCAUAUCAACCAAAGGAUUUACAUCCGUAUGCAACUUUUCACUACACCAAAAGCACAAAACUUUAAGCCAAUACAACAAAACAAAAAUGAAAGAUUCCUGUCCAUCCGAAGCUCUCUUGUUUCACUCCUUCCAAAUCAACCAAAAACAGAGAGGAGUUGAGACAAACUUCAAUGUCUUGUUGCUGGAUGCCCCCAAGCCCAUAGUUCUUGCUCAAGAGGACCUUUAAUAACCCAAGAUAACCCAGUGCAAGCAUAAGUUGUUGUCCAAUCAUUCUCAUCCAAAACAAUGAAGGAUGAUGAAAGACACACAGUCUUUACCUCCAUUUUGCAGAGAAAACACGUAUUAACCAGUACCUUGCCAUUUGUUGUAGGUUAUCUAAAGUCCAGUCUACCACCAAACCUCCCUAGCUCACUACUUAUAGUAAGACAUAUAAAAAUUUAAGGGCUAAAUUCUUAGUACUAGCUUCAAGAAAGCUCCGUUUCUUUCAAAUUUAGAAUAGAAAGAUCUUUCCAGCUGAAAAGCCUCCUCUAAAAUUUCUAAAGAAACAGGCUCCCAGCUACACUUGUUGAAAUUAGGACUCAAAUAGAGACCUAAGUAGGUGAUCAGGAACGAACCUAACCAACACCCCAUAACUGACAAUAAUCGAGUAUUAUUCACUACUUCACCCAGUAGAAUAAGCUUGUUAUUACUCAGAUUAAUUUUAAGCCCAAAACUGCCUCAAAACAAAAGUAUACUCCUCAAAUAGAGUAACGAAAAGACGGCACCAUCUGCAAAAGGAAAUGUGAUACAGCCAUUGCCAUGUCUCCAUUGGCCACUUUAAAGCCAGUAAACCAUCCCAAGUCUGACCUUUGACCAUUUUGCUAAGACCCUCCAUCAUCAGGAUAGACAAGGGGAAUAAAGGGUCACCUUAUCUAAGGCUGAGAGAAGAUUGAAAGAAACUGGAUGAACAGCCAUUGACUAUAAUAGCAAAUGUAGGGGCUGAGACACACUGUUUCAUCCAAAUUGCACCACCUCUCUCCAAAGCCCAUCAUCUUUAAAACACACAAAAGACAAUCACACAAAGCACAGUCAAAAGCCUUCCUGGUAUCGAGCUUGCAAACAACUUUCUUCUUGACAUUAAAUUGGGAAUCCACUGACUUAUUUGUGAACAUAGCUGCAACUAGAAUUUGUCUUGUAUCAACAAAAGAACUCCAAUAAGGUCCCACCACUUUGCUGAUAAUGCGUUUUAAUCUUGUUGCAAGCACCUUAAUAAGAAUUUUAUACACACUGCGCUCACUGAAUUAAUGGGGAGAAAAUCACACUAUUCCUUCAGGUCUCUCCCGGAAUGUCUAAAGUAGUCAGCGAUGGAUUCUACCCAAGAAGCUAGUUAUAAGGUAAUCAAUAUGUUAAAGGAGCAACUAUGUUCCUUUUUCUCCUCUAUUUGCGAAGCUGACAUGUUUAUCCCAAUUGUAAGUUGAGAACAUGAAAGCACUUGUUAUCAGGUGCACCAAAAGUAAAAUCUGUAAGGUGUUGCAGAUGCCCAAAUAGGGUGUUAAAUAAGCCACUAACCAGAUCAAAGUUUCAAAACUCAAUGCUAACUAUGAAACAUCUAUAUGCCGUGCAUCUCAUGGUGCCAAUAUCUCUAUUUUUUCAAAAAAUCAAACGAAAUACAAAGGGCUAUUUACAUAGAUGAAACUUUUUUUUUUGGUAAAAGGUAAUAGAUAUAAUGAGGAAAGCCAAAAGUACAAAAGAUCACGGCACCAAAAACUUGCACAAUGGGAUGAAACUUUCAGUGGGCUAAUUAUAAUAAAGGUCAUUAAUUUCUAACAAAUUACAAGGAGGUGGACAAUGGGAUGCCUAGGUAAAUUUAAUGUCUGCAUGCUCCAAAAAUAAUUCAGGCUGGAUCACCUUUCUUUACUUCAAGAGGGAUGAUAAGAAGGGGGGUGGAGGUUUUGUUGAAAUUAAACACUGAAGUUUCCAUGAGUAAAUGUGAUAAAGGAAGCGAUUCUCAUCAGACCAUAGAGCACAUAAACAUGCAUGUAUAAUACCUCUAAAAUAAUAAAUAUGCAUGUAACUUCAGAGGUACCAGAACAAGCAGCUUGAAAAUAAAAAUAGGUCUCCAGCAUCUUACCUCACGCAGUCUAUAAAGUCCUCUACACCUUUCAAUAGAAGCAAUGAAAUAGCACAAGGCAUUUACAUGAUGAUGCUGCAUCAACUUUGGCAUGUCGGAAAAAGAAGGCCCCUGGAAAGAUCAAUAAUAGGAUUUUAGAUGAACCACUUAUAAUAUGUACUAGGCAAGAAGUUGAUAGCUACAAAUAUUGAUGAUUAGUUUAUUUCAGGAAGUAGACAGCAACAUGCCUGAAAUACAUGUAGUAUCAAUGAUACUUUCUUGUUAUUUCCUCCAAGAGCAGCAGCAAGCACUUCCUUUGGAUAAACAUAGCCAGAAAAACCGAAAAAACCAUCGUCCCACAAGGGGGAUACCCACUUUGCAAAAUUUCUAGGUAGAAAUCCUACUCGGAUGCAAUCUAUUGAAGAAAUGCCAAAAAAAGGUACUUGAGUAGCUCAAAAGUAACUGUGAAAUCAUAAAAGGAAAAGACAGAAUAUACAGGAGAAAACUUAGAAUUCAUACACUUAGAGCCAUCUUCUGAUUGGAGAAUGCUGAUAUCAGUUCAUCUUAAAAUCUAAAACAGAAAUUUGUCUUAAGCUAGGAAACCAAGCGAGUGACAUAUAGACGGCAAAAGUUUGUAAGUGUUGCCUGGGAAAGCAAGAGAGAUUGAAUUGACGAUCUUUCUGCAGAACUCUAAACAUUUCUACACCAUUGUCAAUUGGUAGUUGGAAAGAAAAAAAUGAAUAAGAGCAAAUACAAUAGUAUUGGCAGUUAGAAAACUAUACAUAAAGACAAAGCAUAUCUACAAAGGCCAAAAUCUUAUUUUUAGUGUUCCAAAUGGUGCUAUACAGACAGUGAAUCGCCUAAUGAGUUAGUUAGCAACCUAGCUAAGCAUUCAUCAAAGUAGUUCUCUGGGAGUCUGGGUUACACCUAAGCCUUAAUUAAAGAAGCAAGCAAUCAAAUUGUACAAUGGUGGAAUAUGCUAUUCUCCAAAAAACUUGAACUAAUACAUAAAAGAUUGGUUUGCUCAAAGAUAUCAUGCAGAUCCAUCCUCAAAAACCUUGAUUUUCUUGAAUCGUAUUGUCACAAUUCAACUUUCCCCAUUCCAUGAAGGCAUUAAAGUUACUCCACAAGACCAGAAGAAGCAUAAGGGAUCCAAUAUGAACAAUACAUCUAGAUUGCAAGAGUGAUGUCAGAGAUUUCCUGCCAGGUCUAUUGAUGAAAGGAAAGUCAUGUGGAAGAUUUCCAAAGGCAUGCUUGGCCACCCAUGCACAAAUUAGUAGGAAGCUGAUGCUACUCUCCUAAUGAUGACCAUGUAAAGGUGAAAACAAUUGUUUUGUUAAAUCAAGACACAUGCAUUACUCAGGACACAAGAUGCCCAAGUAAAAGAGAGACAUUGUACAGUGGGUCACAAUGAGGCAUUCUACAAUAGAAGCCACAAGAAUGAACCCUAGAAGGGAGGGCUGACCUAGUGAAUCAGCUUGCCAGGCGCCAACUAAAGGCAAUCCGCCAGUGCCAUGACAACUGCUAUCAGAGCAAGAUUUCCAAAUUUUAUGUGCAGAUGCCAUCUGUCACCAUGAUUUGAGCAUGACCUGUGGAAGAGACGGAACACCUAUUGGAAGGGUGUAAGCCAUUCAUGUAAAACCAAGGCAGACUCAGUGAUGAUGUGGUAUGCGAGGAAGCGACACCGAGUGACACAUUCUGUUGGGUGAGCUUUGGGCAUUCAAGUCAGUGAUGGUUAGGGAAGUGCAAGGAAGCCAAAGAAUAGGCCACAGUGAGGGUCUUAUGGAAAUCAAAUCAGGGAAAAUGUCAUAGUCCAAUUUUACCCUGUUUUAAAUGGAAGUGAGCUCCGUAAUACCAGAAGAAACAUGAGGGAUAUGUAAUGAACAAUACCGCUUGGUCAUGGUAUUGGUGCUAACAAGUUUGAGCUAGAAAUCAACUGAAGGAAGGAAUUUCGUAUGGAAGAUGUCCAACAGAAGGGUGGUCCUUUGUAUACAAACUGGUAGAAAGCUGGUUUCACUCUCUUGAUGAUGGCCAUAGAAAACCGAAACCACCAGUAAUUGUAUUGAAUCGAGAUGCACGCUCAACUUGGGACACAAUAUGCCCCAAUAAAAGGGAGAUGUUGUACAGUUAUUCACAACGAGCCAUUCCACAAUAGAAGCCAUGGGAAUGAUCCUUAGAAGGGAGAGUUGGCCUGGUAAAUCAGCUCGCCAGGUGCCGCACGACAGUCCGAUGACCGAGGCCAACUGGCCCGCAUUGUGACACAUAAACUAUUGUAGCCAAGAGCACAUAACCAAGCUCCAAAAAAAAUUUCUCUAUCACAUUAAUUUGAUAGCCACUUUCCUACAUGAAGUUGUCAACUAUAUCCAAUUAAUAAGAUGGUAUUCGAAGCCCUCCCAUGAAUGCCCAGAAAGCAUUUUCUUCUUUAUUUAAAGUCCACGUAAACAUUUUCACUGGACAGCUUCCAUAGAAGAAGAGGAAUGUAUCAUUUAAAUUAAAUAGAGUCCCCGCAAAGGUCCAAGACAGAUAAGAAAACACUUGACAAAAUAUCCUGCAUUCAAUUCCAGUGACAAAAUUAUGAGGUAUUUCCAAAAGGUAAGAGAUCAUUGUGCUUGUAUUGUUUCAGCUCUACAAGAGCGAGCCAGUAAAACAAAGUAUGAAGUUAUAAUGCACACCAACGAAAGAAGCCUGUACCAGAGUAAAAAACAUUAUCUUCCUGCCUGACAAAUGCCACUGAAUCUGUCAUUUUAUUGGUUGUAUUUGCUUCCAUCUCAAAAUUCUCUUUCAUUAUUGUAUGUAAAAAAGCUCUCACGCAUAUGCAUAAGAAUAUGAUAAGUUGAUUCCAAGAAAAGAAGUAUUCUACCAUUUAAGACAAGAUGAGGGUUCAAUCCACUAAUCACUGACUUUGAAAACAAGAUGUGAAAUACAUAAGUAAUUAAUGAAUUGUAUACUGAAAUUGGUGGAAUUACUUGAAUAACUAAUUCAAAUUAUUUCAAUUAUUGAUUUCAAUUUUACAAGUAGACCAAUUUACUUUUUUUUGAAAAAUUUAUUAUCGAUCAAUACUUUAAAAUGAUCAUGUAAGUAAAUUAUGUCAACCAUUUGGUAGACGUUCAUAAGGCCAAUCGAGUUUGAUUUCAAGGGCUUGCCAAAUCGGCCCACUAACCAACUCCACAUAUAAUUGUUGACCAGCAGGAAUAAAACAGAAACAUUGCUUAUUUAUGAAAACAAGAACUGGAUUUUACCUCCCUUGAAGAAGUUAUUGGGAUUUCGAACAAGAAUGCUGACUGCAUUGUAAUCGGCAGGUAUAUUUGUUUCUCUUCUUAGAGUUGUUUCCAGCAUCCCAGAUGCAUUAAUAUGAGAAUCUGAGAGGAAAGAAGCUAAUUUCCGUAGAGUUGCACCAUCUGAGUCUGCUACCGCAUGCAAUAGGUGACUUACGCCAGCAAUGGAUGCCUUAACCAUGGCAAUGUGCUUUGGAAACGCUAAACAUGACGUGCUGUGAUUGUCCUGUGAAGAAUGAAAUCAUGGAGUCAUGUCCUAAGAAAUCUAUAAAAGAUUAAAAAGCAAAACUUAAGGUUAAAAGGAAUUGAUAGUAUAGUAUUAUGUUUAUCCAUUAUCACAUCAUUAACUAAGUCGUCUACCUUAUGCUGAAGAUCAUGAACAAUCUGCCUGCAACAUUUCCUAACACUAUGACUAUAAUAUAGAAUAAAUUUUGGAAGUCCUAAAAACCACUUAUUACUCCUACUAUAACUUCCCUCCAAAAUUGCAAUGAAAAAGUAAAAAAUAUUUUAAAUUUAAUGAAAUUAAGAAGAAAUUGUAUAUGAUUCUACAUGUCAAUAUUGGAAUAUUUUGAAAGGUUUCAGGUGUUUCAAGUUAAAUAAAGACAGUGUGAGAGUUGCUAGAUUUACAGAAAGUCAAAACUUAAGUAGAAGUAACCCGAAAUGGCCCUUCCUGCAAGCACCUAAAAGCAUCUCUCUAUGAAUUACAAAUGAUCUUUAAAAAAAAAAAAACAAAAACAAAAAAAGAGAAUAAAAUCUUUGUCUGUAGUAAACCUAUUUGAAGAUCCCAUAGCAAAAAAAUAAAUAAAUAAAUAAACAUCUGUAAAUAAUCUUGUUAGAAACCAAUUUCCCUCAUAGGAAGUCUGGAGACAUCAAACAAAAAGAUAGCAGCAGUCCAAGAUGAAAGCUUUCUUGAGCGAUGCAUUCCUGAGAUGGACGAAGCUUAAAAACUGAGAAAGACCAAAAAUAAACAUUUAAAUCACCAAAAACCUCUCUUUGAUGACCUACCCAAAUACUACCCUCCAGUUACACUUCAUCAAUGUCACAAUUCCAGCAAAACUAUAAAUAUGUGAGAAUAUGUCACAAGCUUAAAGCAUAAGACCAAUGAGGCAUAAAUGUACUCUUUAAGUGGAGCAACUUUUUGGCAAGACUCUCUAGCAUCUUUGACAAACUUCACAAGCCCUCUUUUAGUCCCAGAGAGAUAUUGUGAUCAAGGAAUCUUGAGGAAUUUUUCUUCAGUGAUCCAUUUUAUGCUGAAAAGAAAGAUCAAGCUUCCAAAAAAGGUAUAUCUUUUUUCAUCUCAUGACAAUUGACUGGAGCUAGUCUCUGGCUACACGUACCCGGGAUUGCUAUAUUCCCUUCCAAUCUGUGAUCCAGAUUCAUCAAUCUGGUUUUGGUAAAUUUGUGUCCCAGACCAUUUCCCUAGCCCAUCAACCCCUUCACAUUCUCACGCAAUUCAAAGAUACCAGCUAACUCUUAUUUGCUAGCUCUUCAAAGGACCAGAAUAUUAUACAUUUUGUAUCUAAUUUAGGCUUAUGGAUUCGGGGAAAAAAAUCUCAGACAGAACAAGUCUAUUUAAUCAUUUAAUCAAUUGGAGCUUGUAUUGUAGUUAAUCUGUAAUUUCAAAAUAAUUCAUUGCGAAAGAACAACUAGAUUACCAAAAUAAAAGUGAAUGACCUCAAAAAGAGAAUGUUUCCAAGCCUAUCACAAUUCAACCAACUAAUCCAACCCCUUCUGUUACUUUUUUCUCCACGUCUUUUCUUGUACCUGCACUAUCCCUAUUAUAGUUGCUAUUUCAUAGAUGGUGAGACAAACGACAGUCAGACUCAAUCAGAUAUGAUUCCUCCGCUCCAACUGAGCUAUGGCAAUAACUCCUACUACAAUUUUUGAUGACGUAUCCCUUCCCAAGUGACAGAACUACGCAACAAAAUAGAACACUUACAGACAAAAAAUCAGUCAGAUCCAAAGUGUCUUGUGGCAUACAAGAAUGGAUUCCAGGCACUGACGCGAUUAGAUAUCCCAUAGCCUUGUUAAAGUCAUAUUUUGCCAACUCAACAACCCAAUGAGCCUGAGAAGGUGCAUCAAUCACAAGAGAUGCCAUAAACCCUGCUAGUUGAACAGCAAAAUCAGAUUUUACACCUUGUGUUAUUUCAUCAUCAGAAAUUUGGGUGAACAAAGAUGAGAAAUCAGGAGCACUUCUACGAGGAAAAUCUUGCCACCACACAGUAUUGGUAAUGCCAGUCCACUGCAGAAGUCAAAAUCAUAUGAAUAAUGCAACAUCAAAAGUUUGUUCUACAACAGCACAAACUAAUAACAAGAGUGGCCAAAAAGAGGUAAUCAAUAAUGAACAACGCAAGAAGAACGUGAAAGAUAAGAUAUGCCUAACAGCUUCCCAAAAACCAUUAUUAUUAAAUAACUUUUGGCAUCUCUCGUUCCACAUUAUUAUAGCCAAAUUGAUCCAGCCUAUGUAAGGUCAUCUCUGAAGUCCAAUAAUCAACACUUGCCUAUCCCAAAAAGUCUCACAGGCACUUUCAGAGGAGAAUCAGCUCCCACUUAUUUCUCAUAUCAUCUUUUACCAUGCUACUUACAAAAGUGCCAUGCCAAGUAUUCUACAGGCUUUAUUACCAGAAGUUGACAAAAGAAGAAAGUCUAUUAAAUGCCAUAAAAGCGUUGCAGAUCAACGAAAAACUUAAGCAGACUUCUUUUAUGAGCUUUUGUCCUGAUAACCAGGCAGCGUAAGAGGAGAAAAAGCUGCGAGAUUUAUAAAGCAAUUAUGUAAGAAGAAAUGUUCCCACUCGCCGUAAAAAGUAGUGCAAGGAUUGUGGACACAGGCCAGUCUUGUCAAUACUCAAAGAUUAGAAGGAUAAAAGAAUAUUUUCUGUUUGCAGAUCUAACCUAUGCUCGAAUAAAUUAUAGUUUACUUGACAUCCACUUAAAUCAAUGGUACCAGCCACUUCUCCGGCAAAUAUUUAACUUGAUUUAGUCUUCUGGAUCAUAAACAGUAACUUAAAAUGCAUUUUGAAUUUGCACAGAUUUUUCAUUACAAAUAUUUACAACAUAAGGGUUGAUGGAUCAACUGGACCAACCACUUCAAUAGUGCAUGGAAAUAUUUUUAUCAAUAAAGGGGAGAACGUUCACUGGGUAAAUUUGUAAAUGGCCAAAUAUUAGUUACUGUAUGGAUUAUCUAGCCAAAACUUCUAUACUCAGGGUUACAUAGAGAUGAAGCUCCACAAAUGGGGUGACGGUCUGUUGACAAUAAAGAACCAAUGCACAUCUCAUGCUUUAAACACAGAUACCACAAACAGUGCAAUCUCAGGGGAAAAGGGGGAAUGUUAUAGGAAGAACUCUAAUUCAAAUGUGCAGUUCCAUGACUAAACCUCCAACUUCAUGACUAAGUAAUAAUGCCAUCAAAUAGAUUAUCUUAGAAUAGUUCUCCCAUCAGGGCAUAAAUACAUUCAGAAGGAAAGCACUCUAUUGCUUGCCAGAAAAAAGCCAUAAGCACAACUUGAUCUUACUGCAUUGUUCCCACCACGAAAUAACUUGCAUAUGAGUUAGCUGUACCCUAGAAACCACUGGAUGUAAGGAAAUGAUAGCCUCAUAAAAAUUUUCCAAACAAAAGAAAGUGAGAACAACUACCACAUAACUCUAAAAGUGGUAAAACAAUUCAUUUGAGAAUUUUAAAGGAAAAAAGAGCCUAUGACAAAUGUUAAGUCACAAUAUGUUAAACCCAGGAAUCACCUGUUUGGCAACCAAAUUGGCAGAAGUAAUGAUGAUACGAAUCCGAUCCUCUCUUUGAAAAACAAGAAGUUUUGGAUGAUGACAUGCGAUUCCCUGCUUCUUUCGAUCUCCACCAAAAGCGAUGAUCUCAGGGAAAGGGGGAUAUCUGAAAAAGUAAUUGUCCAAGAAUGCUAAAUUGUGUAAAACUGUUUAGGCACAUCACUCAAGUUAACUGAGAAAUGAUAAACAACUUACACCACAACAAGCUUUGGGAAUUCUGGAUAAGGUACAAGGGUUCUUUGCUCAGGGCUUGAGCUCCAACAUCUAUCAGUGUUGUGACAAGCAAUGGUCACUGGCAAGUGGUCAGGAAUUCGACAGUAGGAUAGAAACCUGCCAUUAUGUCUCAGCAGAGAUACAAGCAUCCGUUCAGGAACAAGAACCAAAAACAAGUAAAUGUAGACUGAUUUUCUAAAUGCAAACAUGAAAGCAAGAAGGAAAUAUGUAUGAACUAUCCACGUAGUUAUUAAAUUAACGAGAAAAGCCAGAGCUAUAAUAUUGUCCCUGCAGAAUAAUAUAAGAAAAGGAAUGGCUGAAGGCAUUCACUGCAAAAUCCAUAGCAAAUGUGGACGACAAGAGAUGAUUAACAUAUCGGCCAAGAGAGCAUGGAACCAAAAGGUACAGAUCAGUGCAAAGAAAAAGAAGUACGAACCACGCAAUGUCACAAGUGAAUGUUGCAAUGAAUAUCUGCGCAAUGCUUUCGACAGGAUAGAUAAGUUCUGCCAAGGAAAUUUCAGAACUACAACCAAAAGAAUCUUGUCCAAUAGAUUCAAGACGAUUGAGGCAGAAAUUCAUCCCUGGAGGUGGACAGAAGCUGCGCCUAUUUUCAUCAUUUGCGGUGGAAUUGAAACAAGGGCCAGUUUCUGGAGGCACCCGGUUUAGAUUAGAGGUGAUUCGAUCGGCAUUCUCAAGAUAUUUGUUGCCUCUUUGAGAUAAGUUUCCAGCAUGGGCAGAAACACAUGCUCCUUUCCCAUCAAUCUCUGAGCUCACAACCUUUUCAGCUGGAUGCACAUGAGUGAGUGGAUGAGGAAGUCUGCACCUCAUGCUUGGCAAAUUACAGAUGGUGUCGGAAUUGUUAAUGGGCAAAACAUUUGGCAACUCUGGUUCGCCACCAGGAUCGGUGGCAGGCUCCUUGGAAAAAAGAUCGAGCCUGGAUCCAGAUGAAUUAUUACAAUUCAAUGAAGCGGGCACGGCUGUUGCCAGAAAAAUAGGGCAUCUCCGGAUGCAAGAAACAGGGUCGGCAGAGUCCAAAAUGUGCCUGCACCGAGCCAAAAGCGAUUUUGCUCGGCGAUAAACAGCCGAGGAAGAAGAUGGACAUGGAGACGAAGCAGUAGACCGGGAGGCCGAUACCCUUUUGCUGCUGCUCGACGUCAUCGUGGUCGUGGUGGUCGUCCAAGGCAAAGAAAACCUCUCCUUGACUGCACGAGGAUCAUCCGAACCAGGAGAAACCACUUCCUCCUCAUCCAGGACAACAAUUCUCCUAAUAGCAAAUCCAAUUCGAAUGCCGGACCUACAUUUACCAUCGCCGCCGCACACGAGCAGGACUUCAUCCCCUGCAAACAACGCGACGGCGCUGCCCUGCCGACACUCGACUCCAUUGGUAAACACUCGACUCAAAGCAGCGCGAGGAGCAGCCUCGCGCUCCUCCCCGACUCUCUCCCUAGAAACAAACGAGUCGUUCGGCCGAGACCCGGCAUGGAAAACGAAGACCUUGCGCUGGCCACCGUCGAACAGGAUGCGGCAAUGGAGGUUGCUGACUCGGGGGUCGGGCAGGAGGAAGUCGCACCGGCCGGCGCCGCGGCCGAUCGCGUAGAGGCGGCCGGCCUCGAGCCGGAUGGACUCGCAUGGGCGCCCGGUGGCCUUGGAAACCAAGGGGAUCCCGACAUGCCGCACCUCAAGCAGCGCCGCCGCAGCCGCCGCCGCCUUUGCUACGCACUGCUGCUUCUUUCUCUUCUUGUCGUGGCCUUGCGCGACGGGGUGGUGGGCGGGUCGCCUUCGUUUGAGAGUAGUGUCGGAGGCGACGGUUGACAUGGGUAAGGGAAUGGAGGGAAGCGCACGUCAUGUCAUGUCAUGGCACCGAUCGAAUCAGAGACGAAGAAUUCGACGGAAGAAAAGGGAGACGAAGAAUUCGAAGGAAAACGAAGGACGAAAGAAGGAUUCGGGGGUUGCAAGAAUGGCGGGCGACGAGGGGGGAUAAAAGUGGGGGAGAGAGGGAAGGUUUCGAAGGCGGCCAAUGCAAUCCCCACCGUCCGUCCGUUUGCGCCCCUCCCCCGAUUGCUUUCCCUCCAAAAAAAAAAAAAAAAAUGAACCCCACUCUCUCUCUACUUUAAAAAAAAGAAAAGUUGUAAAUCUGGUUAAUAGCCCGGUACAUGUGGGCCGGGUCGGAUAUCGGGCUUACGAAUCAUUGCUCGGAGCUGUUUGAUGAAUUCAAAACUUUUGAAUGAAUAAAACCAUAGCCCAAUUUUACUCUCUCUAUUAGUUGAACCGGUGAUAAUUGAACCGGUGAAGAGGAGCAAAUCCUUCAUAUUUGAGGUCUUUCGGUUGGAAAAUGAGGAGUGUAGUAGGAUCAUUAAGGGCACUUGGAAUGAACUGGCCUAGUUGCUGAGGAUUCGGUACUGAAAUUAAAAGCUGUGUCAUUAGCUUUAGCCAAAUGGAGCAAGAUAACUUUUCUAAACGACCAGAAGGGGAUUAAUGACCUGAGAGAUGAGUUGCAAGGAGAAAGUAAUUUCUAGAGCUUACCUGCACACAAGAAUAAACAGCAGGAACUUACGGAACAAAUAGAGAAUCUGUUCAGAACAGAUGUACGGAGGCUUGAGAUCGAGAAUAGAGUGGCUGAAGUAGGGUGAUAAAAACACAAAAUAUUUCCAUGCCACAGCCAUUCAAAGAAGAUAGCAAAAUAGAAUUUCCAUGUUAAAAAAUUUGAGUGAUACUUGGAACCGAGACCCGGCAAGACUGAAGGUUGUGACAAUGAUUCGUAAGCUCUUCUAGUAAGCCAAUAUGUCUUUAAUGAACACCAUAAUAAAUCUAUUUAUACACUCUUUGAAUACUCUGUUAAUCAAAUACAUGAAAGCAGAAGGCACAUCUAUUAAUCCAAGAGGCAUGAUGAGAAAUUUCUAAUGGUCAUAUCUUGCUUUGAAAAUAAUUCUAGGCUUAUCAUCUCUUUUUCUUUUUCAAGUUCAGAAAGUGUUAUUCAAUGCGGUACCUUAAAAAAAUGAUGCAUCAAGUAUCUAAUUGAAAGAAUGCGUAAGGAAGCAAGGAGCGUAGGGGAAGAGUGGAAAUUUGGAGAGAAGUCUUUUCUAUUACUUCAAUUGUAAACAAUGUACAACGCUUUGUAAUUAUAAUACAAGAUGUACAUGAAAAAAAGGAAAUAAAAAGUUCUACAAAUAUUCUACAAAUCAAUUCAAUAUUUCUGUCCAAUCUCUAAUUGAUCAAAUCAGAUCAAUUAGAUCAAAUCCGGCGGAUCUUCAGGCAUAUCUUCCAACACUGAUCAAUACCAAAACCAAUUUCUCUAUAAGAAGACAAGCCCAAUAUAAUCUCAAGAAACACAUCUGAUAACAACAAUACUUUCCAACUUCACAACAUUAUAUUUUAUAUCUUUUAAGUCUGCUGAAAAUCAUAACAAUAUCACGAUGUGAGGAUAACCAAACAACCCAUAAAAUAACAUCAAGAAUAUAUAUAUUUAACUCCACUAGAUUUCCAUGCGACUCUUUAUCAUUCAUCUGAAAAACACACACUUCUUGAACACGCGAUUCGCAACUAAGAAAUCAUUACUUUAUAAUCCUCAGUUAAAUCAAUUUGGGGCUCAUCUCUUGCUUCAUGCGAGUCACCACGAUGACUCUUUUAUCUCUUUCUCGAAAUCUCCCCUCGAGAACCUAAAGAUACAUUCUUCAUAUCAAAAGUUAAAACUCGUCUGCCCUUGAUACACUUUACAAAGCCAAGUAAGCUUCUCCAACUCAAGAUCAAUAACCAUAGGGACUGAAAAUAAAUCAUCCAUUCCAGUACUUAACAAAAGAUUGACGCAUUCUAACAUACAACCUCACAGCAUCUUUAUAAAAUCUACCCAACAAAAGAUCAUAAUCUAAGUUCCGAUACUACAAAAUGUCACGCCCAAAACCAUCACGAAUAGGAGAUGAGACGGCCGUCCUUCCACCCAAAGGGCGCGGCCUCAAAGCUCCCAAAAACAAUUCCUAAAGUCCCCUCGUUGAUAUCGCUGUCAUAGUACUUAUUAUUAGAUGAGAAACCUGGAAAAGAAAAAAAAAAAAAAGGGUGAGCAACCAUGGUUCAGUGAGUAAUACAUCUCUUCUAAGCGGAUCGAGCACCCAUUAUGCAUACCUGCAACCAAAAACCACAACUCUUUUAAUCCAAAAUUCAAAAUAUAACAAACAUAUAAUAAGAAAAUAAGUUACGUAUGCUUCAACAUAGUUGUAUUUAUAGUAGAAAUAUUCAUUUUAUAAUAAUAUCAAAAUAAAUAUCAAUAAUCAAAUCCAUUCAUCAAUUUCACCAAUUCACACAUCAAUGGUCUAUUCCAUUGAUUAAUCUCAUGCCAUACAUCAAUAGUCUAUUACAUUGAUCUAUCUCAUAUGAAACCACAUGUCAAUAAUUCAUUCCAACGAUUAAUCUCAAAUCACAUGUCGAUAGUCCAUUUAAUCGACUAAACUCAAAUCACAUAUCAAUAGUCCAUUUCCUUGAUCAAUUCGUUACUCAAUAUCAAACCAUAAUCAUGAUACAACGACUAGUGACAAUGCGACCAAAAUUUCCCCUUGGUAAGAUCUCCACCUAUUAUUAGCCGGUGGCUCGGCCUACAGGAACACCCUAAGUUAGUAUGCAUACCCACAAGCCCCUCACUAGGCUCAUAGCAAUAUUAAACAUAACACCCUCCACAAUCCACAAAGCAAAUCCAGAAUUCAUUUCAUAUAUCACAAAAAGCUUUUGCAAUUCAAUUCAUCUACCAGAAAUAGACUCGUCUCAUUAACUAAUUUUACAAACCAAAUUGAAUCAAAUGUAUGUCAUAAAGCAUUUCACAAAUCGAUAUAUCUAUAACAUUCCAUAAACCAUCUCAAAAUCAAGAGCUUUUUGUAAAAAUGUUUCGCGAUGUCAAAAUAUAUUUUUCAACUUCAUUUCUCAAACAGAAUAUAUUUUUCCACCAACCAGUUCUUACACAAUUCACAAAUAUUAAAAUAUAGUAAGUGCCCGAUUUAUAUUUUAUGCAACAAACAUGCUACCAAACAAGCACUUGAGGAAUUCAAGUAAGGACACCUCCAUCAUAAGAGCAAGAAAUGGCAAAUAUGGACAAUCCCGCACAAUCCUCUUAGGAAUCAUAUACUUAGACAUCCUAUGCCUGAUAGGAAGGUCCUCUAUCUCUUGGAAUGGACUUCAGCACAGUCUCUUAUUAUCCCCAAACAGCAAACUGGCCCUAGCCAGUCGUGCUCACCAACACUACAGGAUCCUCCAAAAUUCAUGAAGAAGAACAUGCCUCAAGCAAUCAAAGUAUGUGGGAUGCCCUAAUCUCUCAAAGGGAAUCCUCUCAUAAUACCAACGGUCCUCCUGAUGACAUUGGAAUGGAACAACGCUACGAGAAAAAAAGGCUUGCAUGACAUAGCUUCGAUGAUUCAAAUUAUCACUAUAACUCUCGAGAUGGCAGAUAAGACUUGUAGUGAAAGUUACUGUAGCACAGGUCAUUAUAACAAAAUAAUGUAGCAAUAUGUUAGGGAAAUCACUAUUCAUAGUCAUCGUUCAUAUUACUUAUAAUAAUUCCCGACUAGGAAUCCCGAAGCCUCUGUGUGUUUUAAGACCCAUGAGUUUGGUCUUUGUUUUUUGUGACCUCUUAAUACCUAUAAAAGAUAAAGAGGAUGUAAUGUUUUGGGCAAAGUCCUUGAAGUAAAGUGUGUGCUUAUGCAAAUUCUCUCAGUGUCUCUCUAAACACUUCUUCUUCUCCAGCUUAGUACGAUCCUCUGAGAAAUGCAGCUCGGCUAAGUUAGAGAUGUUACUUUCCUAGCAUCUUUGAGCAUCUCUUAUCCAAAUUUCCAAAUAGUUCAUAGCUAAAAGGCAGUCCCUAAAAGGCUUGAACAGAAGUUCACCUAUUAUGGGAUAACAUACCUGUUACAACUAACUUGGUCUUCCCUAAUUCUAAGCAUAGAUCCCUUUUAUCAUUUUGAAAACAUGGGUUUAAAAAUUCUUAGAAGAGAUAGCACCACUCACCUUGGAACGCCUACGAUCAAAUAACAAAUGUUACUCAAAUCGUUGAAUUCGCAAUCCUAUCAGAUAAGCGACAAACAAUAUUAAAAUUGAGUAACGCAUUACCUCAACUACAAAAUAGCUAUACUACUAAUCACAUACCCAAAGCGAUUAUUCGAGCCAUUUGCAAACUUUAUCACACCAUAACUUUCUCCACCAAACUCCGUUCCAAACAUAUUUAUAGUCAAUAAAAAGCGCUUUCGACAUACUACAAGAAUCCCAACUUGGUUACCACAAAACUCUCCAGAAAUGGCUGAAAUUUAGCCUUGAAUAUUUGUUUGGAACUUGACAGCACGUGCGACAAAUUUCGAAAUUUCAUUUUAGGUAAAUCGUAAGUUCAAAUCGAGAUCCCCGUAAAAUUUUACAAUUUCACAACACUCUAAACUAUCGUUUCUAUAUAAAUACGUAGUUCAACGACUUAAAAAUCAGACUUCAUCACACAAAUCUUCAAUAAUUUCAAAUUUCAAGUCCUGAAUCCAAAACUACUCCGAUUGAACGAAUGAGGGCACAAGCACUUACCAAGCAUCGGGAUACAAUGUUGAGUCAGCUUGGCAAAUUGUCCGGAUCAUUAGGGCGCGAAUUUGCCCCUUCUCCCGCUUUCUUCUUUCUCCUUUCCUUUGACUCCUUUUUCUUUAUCUCCCUCUCUUCUUUUUCCUUUUUUUCUCUGCCGGACCGUCCUUUUUUUUUUCUUUUUUUCUUUUUGGUAAGGAAAAGGAGAUGAAACCUUUCUUUUUCUUUUGUCUCCCCCUUUUUCUUCAAAAGUUCUCCCAAGAGUGGGAGGGAGAUAGCGUAGAGGCGAAGCAGUCUGAGUGAUUGCAUCUCCCACCCAAACGUUCACAUCUCAAUCAAUCUAAUCGAAAGCCAGGGUGAAGGAAGAAGAAGAAGAAGCAGAGGAAGAAGAAGCGGAAGAGGCAGAUAUGGGAUUGCUGUCCAACAAGAUCAAGAGGGACCGACUCAAGCGUGGGGAUCACAUCUACACUUGGCGUCACUUGUACCUCUACGCUCACCACGGCACGUUCCCUUUUUCUCGCUUAUUCCAAUGCAAUCUUUUUCGCGACGAUGAUGAUGGUGGUGGUGGUUUCGCCUCAACUCCUCUGCUUUUUUUUUUUUUCGCUAUAAAAUUGCUCCAUUCUUCACAUGAUUGAUAAUGUCCUUUCCUAGUUUCAUAUAUAGGAGCUUUGCCCUCGUGGGUCUGUGAGAGAGGUCGUUUUCCUUCUCUCGGGGGAUUUUCUAUCCUGUUUUUUCCACUUCUGCUAAUAUAGAUUGUGGCAACGUUGCUGAUUUUUGUAUAAAAGGAGAUGUUUUAUGAUGAGUAGUCGUACUCAACGUGGCAGAGAGAUCGAAUCCCCUUGACCCUUUUGGAAGUCUGCCACCCCUUUGUCCGCCUUUGCUUAGCUUGUGCUCCCUUUGCUAUUUCUGAAUUGUUGGUUACUCCUGUCAACUGAAGGAGGUCGAAUUCUUUCCAUCCUUUGAUCGUCCGGAUUAUGUUCUUUUCAAGCACGUACCUUCUAUGGACUUAGCUGCUUUCGCAUACUGAAAAGAUUGUCGCUUUUGAGUUCGCAAACAGGAAUAUACGUCGGUAAAGGGAAGGUUAUUCACUUCACUCGAGGGGCAGGACACGAAAUCGGCAGGGGUACUGUGUUAGACCCCAUCAUUUCGAGCUCAUGUCCCCCUCCUCCUGUCGGUACACAAUGCCAGAUAUGUGGAGAUCAGUCGAGACUUGAUGGUGUCAUCUCUUCCUGCAUCGACUGCUUCCUUUCAGGUGGAAACCUCUACCUCUUUGAGUACGGCGUGUCCCGUGCUUUCCAUCUUGCUAGCCCUCGAGGGACUUGCACCCUUGCGGAAUCCGACCCCCCUGAAGAUGUGCUUCACCGUGCCUUUUACCUCCUCCAGAAUGGCUUUGGAGGCUACAAUCUUUUCAAGAACAACUGUGAGGACUUUGCUAUCUACUGUAAAACGGGUCUGCUUGUGGUGACAGUAUGUAUCGGAGGCCGAAGUGGGCAAGCAGCAGCUUUUCAGGCUGCUAAAAGUGCUGUCGGGUCCUUUCCACUUACAUUCUUGACGGUCCGUGUUACUGGCCUGGCAGUUGGUGGUCUGGCAGUUGGUGGUCUGGCAGUUGGUGGUCUGGCAGCUGUGAGUUAUAGCAAGUAUUGCGUCAGUCGUUUGGCCUCUGACGUUGGGUUUCGCCAUGAUGUGGUUAAAGUACCGGCCGAAAGACUUGUGGGUCUACUUCAUUUAUGUGAUCCCCAAGCUGCUGUGGAUAGUCCCACUCCCAGUCGUAUUCUCAUAGCCGAGAUUGACUAAAGAUUGCACGCUGCAAUUUGCCGGCAGUCUCCACCAGAACUUUGCCGGCAGUGGAGAUGAAAACACUCUGCAAAAUGUACGCUUUAACUCUUUGUCGGAUGUUACUUCUGCAAACAUUACCCAGUAGAAAUUUUAAAUACUCAUCAAACUGCAGCUUUGUCAGAUUUGCCAUCAGAGGUCCUUGAGAUGUUUGGGUGUGUGUAGUCUUGUUUCUUGUUGUGUAAACGAACUGAUCAGAUUUGCUUUCAACAGGAUAUGACCUGAUGAUCGUCACCAUCUCUGUAUAGAAGUAAAGUCGCAAGAGAAAUUGGUUCUACCGUUCUCUGCAAUUCUGAUAUUUCUGCUUCUGGAUUGUUUUUAAGACCUUUUUUAGCAAAUCUUGUUUGACCAUCAGGAAUUAAUUCUUUAAGCUAUACUCCCAAUGGGUUAGACUAGCUUUGGCGUGGGUUUUGUCCUAAAUUUGCGUAUAUAUGGUAUUCCAGUUAAAUGAUAAAUUAUAUUUAACCAUAAAACAAAAGAGCUCAAGAGAGGAGCCAUUACUGAUAAUAAUUUCAAAUCAGUUUAGCAACACUUGAAGGGCUGGCCAUGGUCACGGAAGACAGACAUAGAGCUGGCUAUGGUCGAGCGAGAUUGAAGGACGUGAGCAUCAUUAAGGCACAAUGAGCGUCGUUUGACCCUUGCCAUGGUUGACUGAGGGCCACCAACCAACCCUCACAGGCUGAGGCAAGGGCUGUGCAGAUCGUCGCUCAUAAUAAACAUCAUUUCAUGGAACUUUCUUCAAUAUAGGCCAAGGAACGAAUGGUGCAAAUGCGACAAAUUCCAUGUCCGAGCCUUGUCUACUAUGCAGAAUACAAGUGGAGCCAUACCUUACGCAUGCUAAUACAUGUAGACAGGGCAGAAAGAAAGCGAAGAUGAAGAAAGGAUUCGGGGGUUGCAAGAAUGGCGGGCGACAGAUCACGGGAGAAGGUGGGGGAGGGAAGGUUUCAAUGGCGUCCAAUCCAAUCCCCACCGUCCAUCCGCAGCUCCCCGAUUGCCUUCCCUCCAAAAAAUAAACCCCUCCCCUCUCUACUUUAAAAAAGAAAAAUUGUAAAUUUAAUUAACAGCCCGGUACAUGCGGGCCGGGUCAGAUAUCGGGCUUUCGAAUCAUCGCUCGCAGCUGUUCAACGAAUUCAAAAAUGUUAAAUGUUGUUCUUACAAUGUCUGGGCUUGAACGGACCUAUUUAAGGUUGUUUCGGAGUAUUCGACGUGGAGACCAAAAAUGAAUUACUUACCAUUCGAAAAGUAACUUGAAACUGUAUUUUGGAAUCUUGUUGGGCUUUUAGAAUCUUAUUGACGUGCGCAAGCCCAACGUGUUGUUGAAUUAUGAUCAUAUCUACUUAAACUUAGCAUGCACAAAUUCUUUCUUCUUCUUCCUUUUUCGCUUUUCUUUUUUUAUCACCAAGCGUGGUAAGUAAACUCGACUAACAGGUACUGACAAAAAAAAAAAAAAAAAAACCUCGAUUAACAGGUGAGAAGCCUAUUGAGCUCGAGACGAGCGAAAGGCAAAUGGGCGUUUUUAGGUAUCGACCUUACAUUAAAAGGCAUGACGUAAUCCAAUUUUGGCAUGGAUUGAAAUCUCAGCCGAAAUUGCGAUGCACAUAAAAGGAUAUUAGGUUGAUCUUCGAGCCUAAUAUGACACGUAUACCACAAGGAUCACCUGUAGGCUAUAGUUGUGAGCUAGUGAUAAAAGAAAGGCACGAAACAUGUCUUUGUUUUACAGGAAAAAUUAUCCAAAAAAUCAUAAAUUUAUUGCAGUUUCGUCAAUUCAGUCAUAAAUUUUAUUGCAGUUUCAUUUGAUCAAUGCUAACAUAGAUGUCAGCAAUGCUCUGUAAUACCUAUUGCAUAGACAUUGAUAAAUUUUAAUAAUAUUUUAAUAUUUUUUGAAUUUUUAUUAUUUUUUCUGAUUUUUUUCUUUCUUUUCUUUUUGGACUUUUUCUUUUCCUUUUGCCGAUAGCCAACCAUCGCCCACAGGCGACGAUUGGCCACGGCCAAUCGACUAGCCUUGCCCGCCACAAGUGAGGCCCGAUAAGGAGAGGGUGGGCCCCGGUGAGGGUCGGCCUCGCCCAAGCCGAAUUUGGUGAGGUCGACCCUUGCCCAACCUAGGGCAACCUCACUAGGUGUCGGCCAAGCGACGAUGACACCGAGCAAGGCCACCCUAGCCUGGGUGAGGCCAACACCCACUUGGGCAAGGGCGAGGACGAGGGUGAGUGCAAGGCCCAACAAGGGCUCCCCUCGAUUGGCAUUGCCGUCGCAGCGUCGCCUGACCAAUGCCUAGCGAGGCCGCCCUGCCCUACGCAAGGGCCAGCUUCGCCAAAUCUAGCCUAGGCGAGGCCUACCCUCGCCCGGCCAAGCCUAGGUAAUGGCUUCCCUCGUUGGGGCUUGCCUUCACCCAAUAGGGCCUCCCUUGUGGUUGGUGAGGCCAAUAGACUGGCCAUGGUCGGCUGUCGCCUAUGGGCGAUGGCUGGUCACCAACGAAAGGAAAAGAAAAAAGCCAAAAAGAAAAUAAAGAAAAAAAUAAUAAAAAUUCAAAAAAAUUAAAUUGUAAUUAAAAUUUAUCGUGAAGAGGCGGCCGGCCUCCAGCCAGAUGGACUCGCAAGGGCGCCUGGUGGCUUUUCAAACCAAGGGGAUCCCAACGUGCCGCACCUCAAGCAACGCUGUCGCCGCCACCUUCUCCUUUGCUAUGCACUGCUCCUUCUUUCUCUUCUUGUCUUGGCCUUGCGCGACGGGGUGGUGGGCGACGGUUGACAUGGGUGGAAUGGAGGGAAGCGCAUGUCAUGUCAUGUCAUGGCACCGAUCGAAUCACGGAUGUUAGUCGAAACGAAGAUGAUAAAUUUGGCAGAAGAAAAGGGAGAUGAAGAAUUCUAAGGAAAAGGAAGGAUGAAGGAAGGACCCGGGGGGUCGCAAGAAUGGCGGGCGACGAGGGGGAUAAAAGUGGGGGAGAGAGGAAAAGUUUCGAAGGCGGCCAACGCAAUCCCCACCGUCCUUCCGUUUGCGCCCCUCCCCGAUUGCUUUCCCUCCAAAAAACAAAUAAACCCCCCUCUUUCUCUACUUUUUUUUUUUUGACAAAUCCCUCUCUCUCUCUACUUUAAAAGAAGAAAAAUUGUGAAUCUGAUUAAUAGCCCGGUACAUGUGGGCCGGGUCGGAUAUCGGGCUUACGAAUCAUUGCUCGGAGCUGUUUUACGAAUUCAAAAUUUUUGAAUGAAUUAAACCAUAGCCACUUUUACUCUCUCUAUUAGUUGAACCGGUGAUAGUUGAACUGGCGAACUGGAGCAAAGCCUUCAUAUUUAAGGCCUUUUGGUUGGAAAAUGAGGAUUGUAGUAGGAUCAUUAAGGACACUUGGAAUGAACUGGCCUAGUCGCUGAGGAUUUGGUACUGAAAUUAAAAGCGUGUCAUUAGCUUUAGCCAAAUGGAGCAAGAUAACUUUUCUAAACAACCGGAAGCGGAUUAAUGACCUAAGAGAUGAGUUGCAAGGAGAAAGUAAUUUCUAGAGCUUACCUACACACAGAAAUAAACAGCAGGAACUUACGGAACAAAUAGAGAAUCUGUGCAGAACAAAUGUACUGGGACUUGAGAUCAAGAAUAGAGUGGCUGAAGUGGGGUAAUAAAAACACGAAAUAUUUCUAUGCCACAACCAUUCAAAAAAGGCCGCAAAAUAAAAAAUAAAAAAUUGUUGAAAAAUGCAGGUGAAACUUGGAACUGAGACCCAGCAAGACUAAAGGUUAUGACAAAGAUUCGUAAGUUCUUCUAGUAAGUCAAUAUGUCUUCGAUGAACACCACAAUAAAUCUAUUUAUACACUCUUUGAAUACUCUAUUGAUCAAAUAUAUGAAAGUAGAAGGCACAUCUAUUAAUCCAAGAGGCAUGAUAAGAAAUUUCUAAUGGCCAUAUUUUGCUCUAAAAAUAAUUCUAGGCUCAUCAUCUCUUUUUCUUUUUCAAGUUUAGAAAAUGUCAUUCAAAGUGGUACCUUAAAAAAACGAUGCAUCAAGUAUGUAAUCAAUACCAAAACCAAUUUCCCUAUAAGAACACAAACCCAAUAGACUCUCAAGAAAUAUAUCUGACGACAAUAAUACUUUCUAAAUUCAUAACAUUAUUUUUUAUAUUUUUUAAGUCUGCAGAUAAUCACAAUAGUAUCACGAUAUGAGGAUAACCAAACAACCCCUAAAAUAACAUCAAGAAUAUAUAUAUAUAUAUAUAUAUAUAUAACUCCACUAGAUUUCCAUGCGACUCUUUAUUAUUCAUAUGAAACACACACUUCUUGAACACGCGAUUUGCAACUAAGAAAUCAUUACUUUAUAUUCCUCAGUUAAAUCAAUUUGGGGCUCAUCUCUUGCUUCAUGCGAGUCGCCACAAUGACUCUUUAUCUCUUUCUCGAAAUCUCACCUCAAGAACCUUAAGAUACAUUCUUCAUAUCAAAAGUAACAACUCGUUUGCCUUUGAUACACUUUAUAAAGCCCAAUAAGCUUCUCCAAAUCAAGAUCAAUAACCGCAUGGACUUAAAAUGAAUCAUCCAUUCCAGUACUUAACAAAAGAUUGAUGCAUUCUAACAUACAACCUCAUAGCAUCUUUAUAAAAUCUACCCAAUAAAAGGUCAUAAUCUAAGUUCUUAUGCUAAAAAAUGUCAUGCCCAAAACCAUCACGAAUAGGAGAUGAGAUGGUCGUCCUUCCACCCAAAAGGUGCGGCCUCAAAGCUCCCAAAAACAAUUCCUAAAGUCCUCUUGUUGAUAUCGCUCUCAUAAUACUUAUUGUUAAAUGAGGAACCUAAAAAAAAAAAAAUGGAAAAUAAAGGGGUGAGCAAUCACAGCUCAGCGAGUAAUACAUCUCUUCUAAGCGGAUAGAGCACCCAUUAUGUAUACCCGCAACCAAAAAAAACAACUCUUUUAAUCCAAAAUUCAUAAUAUAACAAACAUAUAAUAAUAAAAUAAGUUACAUAUACUUCAACAUAGCUGUUUUUAUAGUAGAAAUAUUCAUUUUAUAAUAAUAUCAAAACAAAUAUCAAUAGUCAAAUCCAUUCAUCAAUCUCAUCAAUUCACACAUCAAUGGUCUAUUCCAUUGGUUAAUCUCAUGCCAUAUAUCAAUGGUCUACAUUGAUCUAUCUCAUAUGAAACCACACGUCAAUAAUCCAUUCCAAUGAUUAAUCUCAAAUCACAUGUCAAUAGUCCAUUUCAUCAACUAAACUCAAAUCACAUAUCAAUAGUCCACUUCGUUGACCAAUCUGUUGCUCAAUAUCAAACCAUGGUCAUGAUACAACGACUAGUGACAAUGCGACCAAAAUUUCCCUUUAGCAAAGUCUCCACCUAUUAUUAGCCGGUGACUUGGUCCACAAGGAUAUCCUAAACUAGUAUACAUACCCACAAGCCCAUCACUAGGCUCGUAGCGAUAUUUGAGCAUAACAUCUUCCACAAUCCACAAAGCAAAUCUAGAAUUCAUUUCAUAUAUCACAAAAAAGCUUUCGCAAUUAAAUUCAUCUACCAGAAAUAGACUCGUCUCAUUAACUAAUUUUACAAACCAAAUUGAAUCAAAUGCAUGUCAUAAAACAUUUCACAAAUCAAUAUCUCUAUAACAUUUCACAAAUCGAUAUCUCUAUAACAUUCCAUAAACCAUCUUAAAAUCAAGAGCUUUUUGCAAAAAUAUUUUGCAAUGUGAAAAUAUAUAAUAUUUCUCAACUUCAUUUCUCAAACAAGAUAUAUUUUUCCAUCAAUCAAUUCUUACACAAUUCACAAAUAUCAAAAUAUAGAAAGUGCCCGACUCAUAUUUUAUGCAACAAACAUGCUACCAAACAAACACUUGAGGAAUUCAAGCAAAUACAGAAUUGAGUAAGGACACUUCCAUCACAAGAACAAGAAAUGGCAAACAUGGACAAUCCCACACAAUCCUCUUAGGAAUCAUAUACUCAGGCAUCCUAUGCCCAAUAGGAAGGUCCCCUAUCUCUUGGAAUGGGCUCCAGCACAGUCUCUCAUUAUGCCCAAAUAGCAAACUGGCCCCAACCAAUCAUGCUCACCGACACUCCGGGACCCUCCAAAAUUCAUGAAGAAGUCUCAAGCAGUUAAAGUAUGUGGGAUGCCCUAAUCUCACAAAAGGAAUCCUCUCAUAAUACCAAUGGUCCUCCUAAUGACAUUGGAAUGGAACAAUGCUACAAGAAAGAAUGGCUUGCAUGGCAUAGCUUCGAUGAUUCAAAUUAUAACUAUAACUCUCGAAAUGGUAGAUAAGACUUGUAGCAAAAGUUACUAUAGCACAGGUCAUUAUAACAAAAUAUUGUAGCAAUAUUUUAGGGAAAUCACUAUUUAUAGUCAUCAUUCAUAUCACCAAUAACAAUUCCCAACUAGGAAUCUGGAGCCUCUGUGUGUUUUAAGACCCAUGAGUUUGGUCUUUGUUUUCUAUGACCUCUUAAUGCCUAUAAAAGAUAAAGAGGAUGUAAUGUUUUGAACAAAGUCCUUGAAGUAAAGUGUGUGCUUAUACAAAUUCUCUCCGUGUCUCUCUAAACACUUCUUCUUCUCCAACCUAGUACGAUCCUUUGAGAAACACGGCUUGGCUAAGCUAGAGAUGUUACUUUCCUAGCAUCUUUGAGCAUCUCUGAUCCAUAUUUCCGAAUAGUUCACAGCUAAAAGGCAGUCUCAGGAAGGCUUGAACAAAGGUUCGCCUGUUAUGGGAUAACAUACUUGCUGCAACUAACCUGAUCUUCCCUAAUUCUAAGCAUAGAUCCCUUUUAUCAUUUUGAAAACGUGGGUUUAAAAAUUCUUAGAAGAUAUAGCACCACUCAUCUCGGAAUGCCUACGGCCAGAUAACCAAUGUUACUCAAAUCGUCGAAUUUGUGAUUCUAUCAAAUAAGCGACAAACAAUGUUAAAAUUGAGUAACACAUUACCUCAACUACAAAAUGGCUAUACUACCAAUCAUAUGCCCAAAGCAAUUAUUCAAGCCGUUCGCGAUGUAGAGCUUGAGUGCAAAACUUUAUCACACCAUAACUUUCUCCACCGAACUCCGUUUCAAACAUAUUAUAGUCAAUAAAAAGCGCUUUCAACAUACUACAAGAACCCCAACUUGGUUACCCCAAAACUCACUAGAUAUGGCUGAAAUUCAGCCCUGCAUAUUACUGCUCGGAACUUGACAGCACACGCGACAAAUUUCGAAAUUUCAUUUUGGGUAAAUUGUAAGUUCAAAUUGAGAUUCCCAUAAAAUCUUACAGUUUUACAACACCUUAAACUAUCGUUUCUAUAUAAAUAUGUAGUUCAAUGACUUAAAAAUCAGACUUCGUCGCACAAAUCUUCAAUAAUUUCGAAUUUCAAGUCUUAAAUCCGAACGAAUGAGAGCACAAGCACUUACCAAGCAUUGGGAUACAAUGUUGAGUCAGCUUGGCAAAUUGUCCGGAUCAUUAGGGCGCGAAUUUUCCCCUUUUCCCGCUUUCUUCUUUCUCCUUUCCUUUGACUCCAUUUUCUUUAUCUCCCUGUCUUCUUCUCUCUUUUUAUUCUAUCGGAACGUCCUUCUUUCCUUUUCUUUUAUCUCCUCCUUUUUCUUCAAAAGUUCUCCCAAGAGUGGGAGGGAGAUAGCUUAGAGGUGAAGCAAUCUGAGUGAUUGCAUCUCCCACCCAAACGUUCAUAUCUCAAUCAAUCCAAUCGAAAGCCAGGGUGAAGGAAGAAGGAGAAGAAGCAGAGGAAGAGGAAGAAGAAGCGGACGAGGCAGAUAUGGGAGUGCUGUCCAACAAGAUCGAGAGGGACCAACUCAAGCCUGGGGAUCACAUCUACUCUUGGCGUUACUAUUGCCUCUACACCCACCACGGCACGUUCCCUUUUUCUCGCUUUUUCCAAUGCAAUCUUUUUGGCGACGAUGAUGAUGGUGGUGGUGGUGAUGAUUUCGCCUCAAUUCCUCUGCUCUUUUUUUUUUUUUUUUUUUGGCUAUAAAAUUGCUCCAUUCUUCACAUGAUCGAUAAUGUCAUUUCCUAGUUUCAUAUAUAGGAGCUUUGCCCUUGUGGGUCUGCGAGAGAGGUCGUUUUCCUUCUCUCGGGGGAUUUUCUAUCCUGUUUUUUCCACUUCUGCUAAUAUAGAUUGUGGCAACGUUGCUGAUUUUUGUAUAAAAGGAGAUGUUCUAUGAUGAGUAGUCGUACUCAACGUGGCAGGGAGAUCGAAUCCCCUUGACCCUUCUGGAAGUCUGCCACCCCUUUGUCCGUCCUUGCUUGGCUUGUGCUCCCUUUGCUAUUUCUGAAUCGUUGGUUACUCCUGUCAACUGAAGGAGGUCGAAUUCUUUCCAUCCUUUGAUCGUCCGAAUUAUGUUCUUUACAAGCACGUACCUUCUAUGGACUUAGCUGCUUUCGCAUACUGAAAAGAUUGUCGCUUUUGAGUUCGCAAACAGGAAUAUACGUCGGUAAAGGGAAGGUUAUUCACUUCACUCGAGGGGCAGGACACGAAAUCGGCACGGGUACUGUGUUAGACCGCAUCAUUUCGAGCUCAUGUCCCUCUCCUCUUGUCGGUACACAAUGCCAGAUAUGUGGAGAUCAGUCGAGACUUGAUGGUGUCAUCUCUUCCUGCAUCGACUGCUUCCUUUCAGGUGGAAACCUCUACCUCUUUGAGUACGGCGUGUCCCCUUUUUUCUUUCUUGCUAGCGCUCGAGGAGGGACUUGCACCCUUGCAAAAUCCGACCCCCCUGAAGAUGUGCUUCACCGUGCCUUUUACCUCCUCCAGAAUGGCUUUGGAGGCUACAAUCUUUUCAAGAACAACUGUGAGGACUUUGCUGUCUACUGUAGAACGGGUCUGCUUGUGGUGAA